rnacentral:rRNA from 1 species
CAGUCCUACGGGGGGCAGCAGUGGGGGAUAUUGCACAAUGGGGGAAACCCUGAUGCAGCGACGCCGGGGGAGCGAUAAAGAAUUUCGGUAUGUAAAGCUCUAUCAGCAGGGAAGAAAAUGAUGGUACCUGACUAAGAAGCCCCGGCUAACUACUUGCCAGCAGCCGCGGUAAUACGUAGUUGGCAAGCGUUAUCCGGAUUUACUGGGUGUAAAGGGAGCGUAGACGGCAGGGCAAGUCUGAAGUGAA